ACGCUGGCGGAAUGCUUUUCACAUGCAAGUCGAACCGGCAGCAUAGGUGCUUGCACCUGCUGGCGAGUGGCGAACGGGUGAGUAAUACAUCGGAACGUGCCCAGUCGUGGGGGAUAACGUAGCGAAAGUUACGCUAAUACCGCAUACGAUCUACGGAUGAAAGCGGGGGACCGUAAGGCCUCGCGCGAUUGGAGCGGCCGAUGUUAGAUUAUGUAGUUGGUGGGGUAAAGGCUCACCAAGCCGACGAUCUAUAGCUGGUCUGAGAGGAUGAUCAGCCACACUGGGACUGAGACGCGGCCCAGACUCCUACGGGAGGCAGCAGUGGGGAAUUUUGGACAAUGGGCGCAAGCCUGAUCCAGCCAUUCCGCGUGCAGGACGAAGGCCUUCGGGUUGUAAACUGCUUUUGUACAGAACGAAAAGCUUUGAGUUAAUACCUCGGGGUCAUGACGGUACUGUAAGAAUAAGCACCGGCUAACUU
rnacentral:rRNA from 1 species